rnacentral:rRNA from 1 species
GAUGAACGCUGGCGGCGUGCCUAAUACAUGCAAGUCGAGCGAACAGACGAGGAGCUUGCUCCUUCGACGUUAGCGGCGGACGGGUGAGUAACACGUAGGUAACCUACCUAUAAGACUGGGAUAACUUCGGGAAACCGGAGCUAAUACCGGAUAAGAUUUCGAACCGCAUGGUUCGAUAGUGAAAGAUGGCUUUGCUAUCACUUAUAGAUGGACCUGCGCCGUAUUAGCUAGUUGGUAAGGUAACGGCUUACCAAGGCAACGAUACGUAGCCGACCUGAGAGGGUGAUCGGCCACACUGGACCUGAGCCACGGUCCAGACUCCUACGGGAGGCAGCAGUAGGGAAUCUUCCGCAAUGGGCGAAGGCCUGACGGAGCAACGCCGCGUGAGUGAUGAAGGUCUUCGGAUCGUAAAACUCUGUUAUUAGGGAAGAACAAACGUGUAAGUAACUGUGCACGUCUUGACGGUACCUAAUCAGAAAGCCACGGCUAACUACGUG